rnacentral:tRNA from 1 species
CGAGGCUUAGGAUAGCCAAGACCAAGGGCCUUCAAAGCCCUAAGCAGGGGUGAAAACCCCCUAGCCUCCG